AAAAGUAAAAAAAGUAAGAAAGAGAAAAAGAAAACGUUAAACGUUAAAAGGUAGAGAGAGAAAGAUGAGUUUGGCCAUUUUUCUUAAAUGGAUCCGCUUGGCAAAAUAUAAAUGAGCCUUGUACAACUCUUGUCUGUUGUCACAUCAUACUUGUGCCUCAUGCAUGGUAAAAAAAUUCCAUGCUUGUGCCUCUUUUAGUUCUCCCAGAUUAGAAUAUCAAAGGAGGACGUUGCAGAUGCCGGGGGCGGACACGAAUUCUUCUAAGGCUAGAAGACCACUGGAAGCUCUCCCAUCAUAAAAUUUCUCGUGAAGUUGCUAUUCGUUACUACUUAUAAAUGUGCUUGAUGGAUAUUUGUUUUAAUUUUUUAUGUUGCGGAUUGAGAAAUCGUGACGAGUUCAGAAUAAAAAUUAAAAUUACGUGUUUCAAGUCAAAACUUAAGAGAAUGAAUUUUAUAAUGUAUAUCUGAUUUUU
rnacentral:lncRNA from 1 species